GACGGAGGGUGCUAGCGUUGUUCGGAAUGACUGGGCGUAAAGGGCGCGUAGGCGGCCGGUUGCGUCGGAUGUGAAAGCCCGGGGCUCAACCCCGGAACGGCAUCCGAUACGGGCUGGCUCGAGACCGAGAGAGGUGAGUGGAAUACCCAGUGUAGAGGUGAAAUGCGCAGAUAUCAGGAAGAACACCCGUGGCUAAGGCGGCUCUCUAGUACGGUACUGACGCUGAGACGCGAAAGCGUGGGGAGCGAACAGG
rnacentral:rRNA from 1 species